CCUACGGGUGGCUGCAGUGGGGAAUAUUGGACAAUGGGCGAAAGCCUGAUCCAGCCAUGCCGCGUGUGUGAAGAAGGCCUUCGGGUUGUAAAGCACUUUCAGUGGGGAAGAAAGCCUUGGGGCUAAUACCCUCGAGGAAGGACAUCACCCACAGAAGAAGCACCGGCUAACUCUGUGCCAGCAGCCGCGGUAAUACGGAGGGUGCGAGCGUUAAUCGGAAUUACUGGGCGUAAAGCGCGCGUAGGCGGUCUGAUAAGCCGGUUGUGAAAGCCCCGGGCUCAACCUGGGAACGGCAUCCGGAACUGUCAGGCUAGAGUGCAGGAGAGGAAGGUAGAAUUCCCGGUGUAGCGGUGAAAUGCGUAGAGAUCGGGAGGAAUACCAGUGGCGAAGGCGGCCUUCUGGACUGACACUGACGCUGAGGUGCGAAAGCGUGGGUAGCAAACAGGAUUAGAUACCCGAGUAGUC
rnacentral:rRNA from 1 species